UUGCUUUGGCAGCAAAUGUACUAAAAUGGGAAUGAUGCAGAGAAGAUUAGCACAGCCCCUGCACAAGGAUGACAUGCAAAUUCAUGAAGCGUUCCAUAUUUUU
rnacentral:snRNA from 1 species